GCCUCGGUAGUGCAAUCGGUAGUACAACAGACUGAACAUCUGUAGCUAGGGAUUAGAAUCCCGCCUGAAGUU
rnacentral:tRNA from 1 species